GAUGAACGCUGGCGGCGUGCCUAAUACAUGCAAGUCGAACGAACAGACGAGGAGCUUGCUCCUCUGACGUUAGCGGCGGAGGGGUGAGUAACACGUGGAUAACCUACCUAUAAGACGGGGAUAACUUCGGGAAACCGGAGCUAAUACCGGAGAAUAUAUUGAACCGCAUGGUUCAAUAGUGAAAGACGGUGUUGCUGGCACUUAUAGAUGGAUCCGCGCCGCAUUAGCUAGUUGGGAAGGUAACAGGUUACCAAGGGAACGAUGGGUAGCCGAGCCGAGAGGGUGGUCGGCCACCUUGGAAGGUAACCAGCGUCCAGGACACUGAGGGAGGGCGCAGUCGGGUACCUUCCGCAAUAGGGGGAAAUCUUGCGGAAGAAACGCGAGCGAGUGGUGGAAGCUCUCCGUUCGGAAAAACUUGUUUUUUGGGAAGAACCAAUGUGUAAGUAACUAUGCACGUCUUGACGGUACCUAAUCAGAAAGCCACGGCUAACUACGUG
rnacentral:rRNA from 1 species